UAAGAUCACAACCUGAGCAUCCUGCCA
rnacentral:piRNA from 1 species